rnacentral:rRNA from 1 species
AUGCAGCCGCGAGCUGGGGCUUUACCACAUUCUGGAGGAAGAGUGAACUUGGAGAGUAUAUUAUUGAUGACAUUCUUUGCAUCCAGUGCAAUCUUACAGUUAUCAAGUUCAAGGAGGCGCAGGUUUUCACAUUUGGAGGAGGCCAAGACGAAUGUUGUGGUCCAAGUGCCGCCAUCUGAUCUGUUUGAUAAUCUCAGUAACUUGCUGGAUACCACAGAGGGAGCUGAUGUAUCUUUCAAUGUGAAACAUGAUGUUUUCUCAGCUCAUAAGAUAAUCCUUGCGAUGCGUUCGGCGGUCUUCAGGUCAGAGUUCUACGGGCCAAUGAGGGACAAAAAAAGGCGCAGCAUAACUGUCGAAGAUAUGCAGCCUGCUGCUUUCAGAGGACUGCUUCACUUCAUCUACAAGGAUUCGUUGCCUCCGAUGGAUGAGCUCAAUGAUGAAGAGUAUGAAGAAAUGCUUAGGCAUUUGCUUGUCGCUGCAGAUAGGUAUGCCAUGGAAAGGAUGAAAUUGAUGUGCGAGAGCAAGCUGUGCGAGGUUCUUUGUGCUGAGACUGUCGCGACCACGCUAGCUCUAGCCGACCAGCACCAUUGCAGCCAGCUCAAAGAUGCUUGCAUUGAGUUUAUGAACUCUUCAAACAUAAUUUGUGAUGUGGUGGCCAGUAAAGGGUAUGAGCAACCGAAAAGGGAAUGCCCUACUAUCAUUGCGGAUAUUUGGGAGAAAACAGCAAAGAGUCGCAAACUUUAG